AUAUAUAGGACCUAAUCUGCUAAGGAAAACACCUGCCUAUCCCAAGGCGGGGAUUAUUCUGCCCACGCUUGAAUCUCAGAGCUGAUUUGAAAACUCCUAUAAAUGUAAGUGAUUUUCCACACUGACUCUACCCAAAUUCACUGCUAUACUCCAACAUUGUAUCUCUUUCUGUUUUCUUAUAUACUCGCCGAUCUGAAGGACCACCUCCAACACAUUGUAAGAAUUUACUAUAAAAAGAAA